rnacentral:snRNA from 1 species
AGCUUUGCGCAGUGGCAGUAUCGUAGCCAAUGAGGUUUAUCCGAGGCGCGAUUAUUGCUAAUUAAAGCCCCCUCCUCACCCAUGGAUUUUCCUUGAAGGUCAGGAUCUUGAAGAUCUUUGGCCAUGGCUGCUAGUGUUUUUGCAGCAUUUGUAAACAAU